ensembl:lncRNA
GACUCAGCGCUGAACUGUUGAGACUAGAAAGGUGCUUCUGUUAAGUCAUCAAUUUCCCUUCCUGGUAGAUGGCAGCCUCACUCUCCUAUUUGCACAAAGCUUCCUGCUUCAGCAGCAUCAGCCCGGCUUGGGCACAGGCUGAGGACAAGGUCUUCAUUGUUAUAACAGAGGGACACAGAGGGCAAUUGGGGCCCUUCACGGCUUCAGACGUCUGUGGCUACAACCUUCGCAACCAAAGGCUGAUGCGGUGCCUAGCAAGACUCCCUGGAAGUGACAUGGCAACAGGCACCUGUGAGGUAUUGGAGAGAGACCUGGAGGGUCCUGAGGCCAUAGAAGAGCUGCCAGUGCUGGUAGAGAGAAUUCUAAGGCUGUCGAAGGAGGACAAGAGAAAAGAUGCUGAAGUGCCACAAAGUGAAGAGGAGGUAAACAGUAGCUCACACGGGAUAGAGAAGGAGGAGAAGAACACACUGCACGUCAUCGAGAAGGAUCUAGACGAGUUUGUGGAAAGCAUAACUGACACACCAGUGGUCACUGAGAAGACAGUGACGAGGGUAGAAAGGGUGGAGGAGAUAGCCAGCUCUGCUUCGCCACAAGUCCCCAAGACCCUUAAAGUGAAAAGGAAGGCCGAGCCCCACACCAUCAGCCCCAUGAAGGAAGAGGUCCCCUGGGAGGGCCUUACCCUCAACAAGUGCAUUCUCAUCGCCUCCUUUGUCGCUCUGCUAUGCAUGGGCUUCCAGGUCUUCCAAGAUGUCAUCGACGUAGAAGACGAGAUUCCCGAGGCAGAGCCCAGCCUGUGGGCCCAGCCUGCGUGCAGCCUUCCCGAGGAUGGUGCCGGCGAGAGGGGAGAGUUGCGGUUUUUCAAGAGCUGGUUGAGCUGGUGGGAGCCGGAAGCAGCAGAAGAUCCUGAAGCCAAGGUGGAAGGGACGCAGCAGGACUCCCCAGCCAGGGCAGAGCCGAGAAGGGGCCAGCAGAAGCGGAGCGCGCUGGAGAAGCCCAGAGAGAGUGAGGUGGCUCAGCCGGAGAGAGGCAGCAAGAAAGGGAUGCAGCCCAAGGACAGGCCCCCCGAGGGCCAGGCCAGCAAAAUGCACAGGGCCCCCCCAGCAGGCUCUGAGGAGGAGGAAGGGCAGCAGCAUAGCAGGAAGGAGGGCAAGCGGAGGGAGGGGAAGGAGCAGGGGGAGCGGACCAGGCGGGACAAGGGGAAGGGCCGCCACCCCAAGCCCGACUCACCAGCCCAAGGGCCAGGCCACAAGGAGCACCGGCAUGAUGAAAGCGGGAAGCAGAACUCUAAGCAGCAGCGAGGCGAGCACAAGGGCCGGAAGCCCUGGGAGCAGCACAAGUUCAGGGAAGGCAAGAGGCAUGACUGAGAACCUGCCCCCUCGCGCCUGAAUGGUCUUGAGCAAUGAGGUUGAACAACACUAAGUCUGGGGGCACCCAAAUUCCCUGCCCCCCAAGGCUUCAGCCUGAAGGCAGCACAUAAUCACCCCAGCACCAGCCUUUCCUUUCAUCCCCGAGAGCCACGCUCACGUGUGAGAUUUGCUGGCCAUUGUUUUUUCCUCCCUAGACAUUGCUUGUUUGCCGAGUUCCCCAGGAAUUAAACACACCUGCCAUUGAUAACCCCACCUGCGGUGACAGAGCAGCAGCAUGGUUUUGUGGUUAGAGCCACAGACUGGGCAGUGGGAGCUCUGAGUUCUGCUCCCAGCUCUACCAUUGACUUGCUGGGUUGGGCUGGGCAAGUCAUGUCACUUCUUUGUGCCUUAUGUUUCCCCAGCUGUAAAAUGGGGAUGAUGAUACUUCGCUAAGGCCCAGGGGUUGCUGUGAGUGCAGGUGAGAUGCUUUGAGAUCCCUGCAUCAGUGCUGGGUAUCGCUGCUGGAGUGGGAGCACAGACGGUCUUGUCAUGGGCCUUAGGUGCAAAUUUGGACUCCCCUGAGUUUGAUGCUUAAAGGAGAGCUGAAAAGGGGGGGGUCCUUUUGUGCUUCAUGAGAGGUCCCCCAACCCCACCAGAAAUAUUUUUCUGCUUGUUUUGUGACUUUACAAAUAAUCAGACUGUCCUGGUAUUGCUGGAGGACUCUCUGGAGGUUUUUCAUGUACAAAGAGCUCUCUCAGGGUCCACAGAUGUCAGUUUUUAACCUGGAGAGCUUUUCUCCCAACUGUUUGUCAGACAUCUGAAUUAAAUUGGUGUUAACAAAACCAAACCAAAAGACAAAGGUUCUAACAGCCUGAAUGGAAAUCCCAGUCCCUGCCACUGAUUCAGGUUUCAGACCUCCAUGGUGAUGAUGCUACAAUCCUACUCAUUUUCCAGUCAUCUAUAGAGACUUCUAAGGAAAGCUGAAGGUCUAAUGGCAAGGCCAAGCAGGUAGAUGCUG